UCNCGAAGACUACACUGUCUCCCCCCUAAAAUCAAUGAAACUAAUCUCCUCGUGAAGAAGCGAGGAUACAAAUAUAAGACGAGAAGACCCCAUGGAGCUUUAAACAAACCCCAACUGCUCCCUCCCUAAUCAUAGAAAUUGAGCAUUAAUGACGGGUAGUUUUCGGUUGGGGUGACCGCGGAGUAAAACAAAACCUCCACAAUGAAUGUAAUAAAAUACUAAUAAAAGAACCACAAUUCUAAUAAUCAAAAAAUUGACAUAUUUGACCCAAACACUUGAUCAAUGAACCAAGUUACCCUGGGGAUAACAGCGCAAUCCAUUUUAAGAGCCCCUAUCGACAAAUGGGUUUACGACCUCGAUGUUGGAUCAGGGUAUCCUAGUGGUGCAGCCGCUACUAACGGUUCGUUUGUUCAACGAUUAAAACCCUACGUGAUCUG
rnacentral:rRNA from 1 species